rnacentral:rRNA from 1 species
GACAGAGGAUGCAAGCGUUAUCCGGAAUGAUUGGGCGUAAAGCGUCUGUAGGUGGUUCAAUAAGUCAACUGUUAAAUCUUGAGGCUCAACUUCAAAAUCGCAGUCGAAACUAUUGGACUCGAGUAUAGUAGGGGUAAAGGGAAUUUCCAGUGGAGCGGUGAAAUGCGUAGAGAUUGGAAAGAACACCAAUGGCGAAAGCACUUUACUGGGCUAUUACUGACACUGAGAGACGAAAGCUAGGGUAGCAAAUGGG